rnacentral:rRNA from 1 species
AGAGUUUGAUCCUGGCUCAGAUUGAACGCUGGCGGUAUGCUUAACACAUGCAAGUCGAACGGAAACGAUACUAGCUUGCUAGUAGGCGUCGAGUGGCGGACGGGUGAGUAACGCGUAGGAAUCUACCUGAUAGUGGGGGAUAGCCCGAAGAAAUUCGGAUUAAUACCGCAUAAUCUAUUCGUAGUAAAGUGGGGGACUUUCGAGCCUCACGCUAUCAGAUGAGCCUGCGUAAGAUUAGCUAGUUGGUAGGGUAAAAGCCUACCAAGGCUACGAUCUUUAGCUGGUCUGAGAGGAUGAUCAGCCACAUCGGGACUGAGACACGGCCCGAACUCCUACGGGAGGCAGCAGUGGGGAAUAUUGGACAAUGGGGGCAACCCUGAUCCAGCAAUACCGCGUGUGUGAAGAAGGCCUGAGGGUUGUAAAGCACUUUCAAUUGUGAAGAAAAGUUAACGGUUAAUAACCGUUAGCCUUGACGUUAACUUUAGAAGAAGCACCGGCUAACUCCGUGCCAGCAGCCGCGGUAAUACGGAGGGUGCAAGCGUUAAUCGGAAUUACUGGGCGUAAAGCGUGCGUAGGCGGUUUAUUAAGUCAGAUGUGAAAGCCCCGGGCUUAACCUGGGAACUGCAUUUGAAACUGGUCAACUAGAGUAUGGUAGAGGAAGUGGAAUUUCUGGUGUAGCGGUGAAAUGCGUAGAUAUCAGAAGGAACAUCAAUGGCGAAGGCAGCUUUCUGGACCAAUACUGACGCUGAGGUACGAAAGCGUGGGUAGCAAACAGGAUUAGAUACCCUGGUAGUCCACGCCGUAAACGAUGAUAACUAGCCGUUGGGGGGAUUUACCCUUUAGUGGCGAAGCUAACGCGUUAAGUUAUCCGCCUGGGGAGUACGGCCGCAAGGUUAAAACUCAAAGGAAUUGACGGGGACCCGCACAAGCGGUGGAGCAUGUGGUUUAAUUCGAUGCAACGCGAAGAACCUUACCUGGUCUUGACAUCCUGCGAACUUUCUAGAAAUAGAUUGGUGCCUUCGGGAACGCAGUGACAGGUGCUGCAUGGCUGUCGUCAGCUCGUGUCGUGAGAUGUUGGGUUAAGUCCCGUAACGAGCGCAACCCCUAUCCUUAUUUGCCAGCACGUCAUGGUGGGAACUAUAAGGAGACUGCCGGUGAUAAACCGGAGGAAGGCGGGGACGACGUCAAGUCAUCAUGGCCCUUACGACCAGGGCUACACACGUGCUACAAUGGGAAGGACAAAGAGCCGCGAAGCCGCGAGGUGUAGCUAAUCUCAGAAACCUUUUCGUAGUCCGGAUUGGAGUCUGCAACUCGACUCCAUGAAGUCGGAAUCGCUAGUAAUCGUAGAUCAGAAUGCUACGGUGAAUACGUUCCCGGGUCUUGUACACACCGCCCGUCAUACCAUGGGAGUGGGUUGCACCAGAAGUGGCUAGUCUAACUUAGUGAGGACGGUCACCACGGUGUGAUUCAUGACUGGGGUAAAGUCGUAACAAGGUAACC